rnacentral:rRNA from 1 species
CCCUUAGAUGUUCUGGGCUGCACGCGCGCUACACUGAUACUUUCAGCGAGUCCACCACCUUGCCUGGGAGGGUGGGGUAACCUCUGGAAAGUGCAUCGUGAUGGGGAUCGAUUAUUGUAAUUAUUAAUCUUCAACGAGGAAUUCCCAGUAAGCGCAAGUCAUCAGCUUGCGUUGAUUACGUCCCUGCCCUUUGUACACACCGCCCGUCGCUACUACCGAUUGAAUGGUUUAGUGAGAUCCUUGGAUCGGCCCUGUCGCGGCUGGCAACGGCCGCGUCGGCGCGUCGAGAAGACGAUCAAACUUGAUCAUUUAGAGGAAGUAAAAGUCGUAACA